UACGUAGGGACCAAGCGUUGUUCGGAUUUACUGGGCGUAAAGGGCGCGUAGGCGGCGUGACAAGUCACUUGUGAAAUCUCUGAGCUUAACUCAGAACGGCCAAGUGAAACUGUUGUGCUAGAGUGCAGAAGGGGCAAUCGGAAUUCUUGGUGUAGCGGUGAAAUGCGUAGAUAUCUGGAGGAAUACCGGUGGCGAAGGCGGCAUCCUGGACCGACAUUGACGCUGAGGAGCGAAAGCUAGGGGAGCAAACGGG
rnacentral:rRNA from 1 species